rnacentral:rRNA from 1 species
AGAGUUUGAGUCCUCGGCUCGAGACGAACGCUGGCGGCGUGCCUAACACAUGCAAGUCGAGCGAGGUCCAUUCGGUAGCAAUACCGAUGAAGACCUAGCGGCGAACGGGUGAGUAACACGUGAGAAACCUGCCCCAAAGUCUGGGAUAACCCGGGGAACCCGAGCUAAUACCGGAUACCUCUUUUGAUCGCAUGGUCAGCUGAAGAAAGUUUUUUCGCUUUGGAGGGUCUCGCGGCCUAUCAGUUUGUUGUGGGGGUAACGGCCUACCAAGACAUCGACGGGUAGCUGGUCUGAGAGGACGAUCAGCCACACUGGGACUGAGACACGGCCCAGACUCCUACGGGAGGCAGCAGUGGGGAAUCUUGCGCAAUGGGCGAAAGCCUGACGCAGCAACGCCGCGUGCGGGAUGACGGCCUUCGGGUUGUAAACCGCUUUCAGCAGGGACGAAAUUGACGGUACCUGCAGAAGAAGCCCCGGCCAACUACGUG